rnacentral:rRNA from 1 species
AUGGACUCGGAUGACGAGGAAGCGCUCGCCAAGCUGCUGGAGGAGGAAGCCGAGGCCGACGUCCAGGAAGAAGAGCAUCUCAUGGUGCUCGCCGCCCUCGCCCAGCUGCUGGCGAGCAAUGAAAAGCCGCGGCGAGGUGGCUCGGCGCCGGGGUGGGUGAAAGCAAAGAACCGGCAUCGUCUCGAAGGGUACUGCAUGCUCUACUCCGACUACUUCGCCGAUGCUCCACUUCACGGCGACAAAAUAUUUCGGCGCCGUUAUCGGAUGAGCCGAAAGCUCUUCCUCAGGUUUGUGAAUUCCAUCUGGGAGUUCGACAACUACUUCAAGUGCAAGAUGGAUUGCACCGGCAAACUUGGAUUCACCUCGAUCCAGAAGUGCACGACAGUGAUGAGGAUGCUUGCAUACGGAGCUCCCGGUGAUUCACUCGACGACUAUGGGCGCAUGGCCGAGUCCACCAGCAUAGAGUGUUUCUACAAGUUCUGUCGGGCAGUGGUGGCAGUGUUUGGACCGCAAUACUUGAGAACACCCAAUGCGAAAGACACUGCUCGGAUCCUAACACAGAAUGCAGUAAGAGGAUUUUCUGGGAUGCUUGGAAGCAUCGACUGCAUGCAUUGGAAAUGGAAGAAUUGCCCAUUUGCUUGGCAGGUAAUGCACAAAGGCGCCAAAGGCGGUUGCAGUGUGGUACUUGAGGCGGUGGCCACACAUGAUCUCUGGAUUUGGCACUCCUUCUUUGGUAUGCCAGGAACUCACAAUGACAUCAACGUGCUGCAGUGCUCUUCUGUCUUUGCCAAGCUUGUUGAAGGCCAUUCUCCUCCGGUGAACUUCGAGAUCAAUGGGCGGCACUACAACAAGGGGUACUACCUAACUGAUGGCAUCUAUCCGAGAUGGUCUACAUUUGUGAAGACUAUCUCAAACGCUGUGCCAGGAGGCAAGAAGUCCCACUUUGCCAAGGUGCAGGAGGCUUGCCGGAAGGAUGUCGAGCGAGCAUUUGGUGUGCUCCAAUCUCGAUUUGCUGUUGUCCGGUACCCUGCUCAGACCUGGUCGAAAGAUCAAAUGUGGGAGAUCAUAACUUGCUGUGUCAUCUUGCACAACAUGAUCAUCGAGAGCGAGCAAGAAGACCCAGUGUUUGACACUGAACCAUACUACAGGCAGGGUCCUCUAGCCGAAGUUGAUCACCAGCUACCGGUAACCUGGACUGCCUACCUCAGUAUGCGUCAGGAGAUCCGAAACCCACAGGUGCAUCAUCAUCUGCAGCAUGAUCUGGUGGAGCACCUAUGGAGGCUCAAGGACGACGCCGGGCGCGACGUGUGA